UGAUGCAGGGAUUGAUAACAUCACCACAGAGGGUUUCACUGGACUUUUUUUUAAGAUUUAUUUUUAUUUCAUGGGUAUAGUUGUUUUGUCUUCAUGUAAGUCUGUGGUCCAUACGUAUGCAGUGUUCACAGAAGCCAGAAGAGAGCAACAGAUCCCUUGGACUGGAGUUAAGCUACUCACCUGACAGGAUUGUUGUCUAGAAUGUAUGAGGAACUUAAAAACAAACAAACAAACAAACAAACAAACAAAAUCUAAACAUGAAGAAAAUAAGCAGCCCCAUGAAAAGUGGGCCAUGGAACUAAACAGAAAAUUUUCAGAUGAAGAAACACUUGUGAUCACCGUCAUGAAGUACCAUUUUAUCCAUUGUAUAAUGUUGAUUUUCACACAGACAUGUUGUUUCAACUAUCUUAUGUACUUUGACCACAUCCCCCAUACCCAAUAAAUGGCUUUAUGUAUCAAUGGAGAAUCCUAUGACAAAUAAAUGAAAAAAACCCUGUAA